UUCAAAUUCUGGGCUUUCCAUCCCAAUUUUGUUUGAAAUCCAGGUUUAUUUUACAGUUUUCUUCAAGUUCUGGACUUACAUUCAUGGUUUUGGUCAAAAUCCACAUUUAUUAUCAUGGUUUUAUUCAAAUCUGGGCUUUCCAUCCCACUUUUGUUCGAAAUCUGGGUUUCUUUUCACAGUUUUAUUGGAAAUCCAGGCUUAUAUUCAUGGUUUUCUUCAUAUUUUGGGCUUAUUUUCGUGUUUUUCUUCUAAUUCUGGGCUUCUCCUCCUGGUUGUGUUCAAAUCCAGGCUUAUUCUCCCGAUUUUGUUCAAAAUCUGGACUUUCCUUCCCAAUUUUCUUCAAAAUCCACAUUUCUCCUGGUUUCCCCGUCUCUUCCCCACUCACCACAUUGAUGAGGGGGAAAAAUUAUUUAUAAAAAAAAAAUUUCCUGCACUCACUGCACUUAAAUUUUUUCCUUUCGAUUUUCUUCCUUUUUCCUUUUUUUCCUUUUUUUUUUUUUUUCAAUUUUUCCUUAUCUUUUUCCUAUUUUUUCUAUUUUCCUAUUUAUUUUUUCUCCCCUGCAGGUUCGUUCUUAUUUCUAAGACCCGGAGCAGAUUUCACAAAGGCGGGAUGUUUUUUUUGGAGCAGACCCCCAAAAAAAUCAAAAUCUCCCCAAAACGGCUCACGGUUGCCACGCGCGCUGCUUGCGGGCCCCCAAAAUUGCCAAUUUUCACACCUAAAAUUGGAAUUGCUGCCAGCCCGUCCCCAAAAUGGGCAUCGGGGACUUUGCCCAAAUGCCAGGUUUGUCCCCAAAUCAGUUCUCUGUGGGUGUUGACUUUGGGUUGAAACCAGGAGAUUUAGGGUCUCGCCAAGCAUCCCUCCUGCUCUGCUUCCCAAAUUUCCUUAUUUUUCCCAUUUCACACCUGGGGAGAAGCUUUUUUUUUUUUUAUUGCCAGUUUGGUUGUGUUUGCUGUGGUUUUCUUGCAUCACCUCUAACUUUGGGUUUUGGUGUUUUUGAGGUAUUUUUGUGUUUUUUUUGAGCUUUUUUGUUUAUUUGUGUUUUUUUUGGGGGGGGAGUGGGUUACGAUGUGGUCUCACAACACCCCUUUUUGGCGUUUUUUCGGCGUGCAGUGUGCCCAGCCCCUCACAGGGGGCCACUCGCUGCGCUUUUAACCCUGGGGGGGGGGGCCCCCAAAAAAAAAAAGGCGGAAAAAGGCAUUUUGGCCAUUUUCCCCCAGCAGCGGGUGGGAGAUGCGGCAGGUUUGGGAGCUGUGCAAAUAAAGGCGUUUUUUGGAUUUUUGACCGUCUUUAG
rnacentral:lncRNA from 1 species